CACAGUGAGACCUCCUCUCUAUUAUUAACAUAAUAAUAAUAAUAAAGAAAUUGAAAAAAAGAAAGCACCACUGCAAAUAUUCCAGUUGAUUCGCCCUGCCCUCAAAAGACAUGUGUCACACCAAGCAACUAACACCCAUGUUGUAACUGCCCCAGAGGAAAGACGUUCAACGGCUGAGGAGACCACAGCGGCAACUAGGUCACUUCCUAUUCGAAGAAAAAGGAGGAGAUGCCAUCUGGCAAAUUCGAGGUCCUUCCAAAGUGCCUACGGAAAGCUUUGUCCCAUCCUUGAAAAAUUGCUAAUGGGUUUGGAGAUACGAGGUGGAGAUGACUAGCAAUCAAACUCAAAGGUGGAAGUCACAUCGAGGCAGAUGAGCAGAUGAGGGGACCUAGAGAAGAAGAGAGGUGCAAGGAGAGCCCAGCCAGCAGGAACAUCUGCCCCAGUAGGCAGCACUGCCCCACAUCAGAGUCGAGGAAAGCAAAGCUCGGAUUGGAUAAAAGAAACUUGCAAACACGGUCAGUGCUUACUGCAUGUGGGCUCAGAGCACGUUACCCUCCUUCCCUGCAUGUUCCUGUGAAACGGGUUUACUGCUCUAACUCUCAGGGACACUGUGAAGACCAAACGAGAAAAUAGAAACAAACAUAAUUUAUAAACCAUAAAGUACUGACACCAAAAGAGGGGCGAGCACAGCAUUGUGAAUGUGCUGGUACUAAAUGGUUUGUUUUAAGAUGAUUUUAUGGUGUGUGAAUUUCACUUGAAUAAAUUUUUUUAAUGGAGUUCA
rnacentral:lncRNA from 1 species